rnacentral:rRNA from 1 species
AAUUCGUAGAUAUUAGAAAGAAUACCAAUUGCGAAGGCAGCUUUCUGGAUCAUUACUGACACUGAGGAACGAAAGCAUGGGUAGCGAAGAGGAUUAGAUACCCUCGUAGUCCAUGCCGUAAACGAUGUGUGUUAGACGUUGGAAAUUUAUUUUCAGUGUCGCAGGGAAACCGAUAAACACACCGCCUGGGGAGUACGACCGCAAGGUUAAAACUCAAAUGAAUUGACGGGGACCCGCACAAGUAGUGGAGCAUGUGGUUUAAUUCGAAGAUACGCGCAGAACCUUACCAACACUUGACAUGUUCGUCGCGACUCUAAGAGAUUAGAGUUUUCGGUUCGGCCGGACGAAACACAGGUGCUGCAUGGCUGUCGUCAGCUCGUGUCGUGAGAUGUUGGGUUAAGUCCCGCAACGAGCGCAACCCUCACUUUUAGUUGCCAUCAUUAAGUUGGGCACUCUGAAAGAACUGCCAGUGAUAAGCUGGAGGAAGGUGGGGAUGACGUCAAGUCCUCAUGGCCCUUAUGUGUUGGGCUACACACGUGCUACAAUGGCAUCUACAACAGGAAGCAAAACGGCAACGUUAAGCAAAUCCCGAAAAGAUGCCUCAGUUCGGAUUGCACUCUGCAACUCGAGUGCAUGAAGCUGGAAUUACUAGUAAUCGUGGAUCAGCGUGCCACGGUGAAUGCGUUCCCGGGUCUUGUACACACCGCCCGUCACACCAUGGGAGUUGGUUCUACCUUAAGGCAAGGUUUCAAACCCUUGACCACGGUAUAGUCAGCGACUGGGGUGAAGUCGUAACAAGGUAGCCGUAGGGGAACCUGCGGCUG